AGAGAGGUGUCCGAGCGGUUGAAGGAGCGCGCCUGGAACGCGCGUAAGGUGAAAGCCUUCGAGGGUUCGAAUCCCUUCCUCUCUGCCA
rnacentral:tRNA from 1 species